rnacentral:misc_RNA from 1 species
CAACAACAGACGAGAGAGUGCAAAAAAGAGUUCUUUUUUGUGCGUGUUCAACGUGGCGUUCACAGCCGCGAACAAGUCAGCGCAUAUACACGCACACACACACACAGUCACAGCUCACCCGUCUCUGGCUAAGCCCUGAUCGACCAGAACAAGCCGCCCUGCCGUCGAGCCGGGCCAUGCGUCUAGCAGGCGCUUCUUGGCCUUUCUCGUCCCUUCUUCGGGUGCGUGCUGCGCGGCCGGCGUCAGACGGAGACCCCGGGUGGACAGCAUGGCUUGAUCGAUGCGGGCCACCUCGAGAGUCCUGCUCGAGGACGGAGGCGGUGGAAUCCGUCGUGCGGGUAAUAAGGGGGUGGUGGAGGUGCAUGCCACAUGAGCUCAGCGAGGAAGUUGGCCAGCCUCGGGCCAGGGCCCUCCGAGAUCCUGCGCACCCUGCCUCCAAGUCACGCUCCCCCCUCCCGAGUCGCUUCAAGCCGCGGCAGGUCAUCAUAUGGUGUGGAGACUCUCCACACCAAAGUCUGGAGGACUCGAUGGUGUAGAAGGGGCAAGAGAGGGCGCCGAAGGUGAUGUUAAAAGGGUAAGUGAAGCCUGAGAGAGAAACUCGAAACAAAAAAACGAAAGGAAGGCCAGACGACAGAGGAUCGAUGCGGGGCAGAACUACUGAAGACGAUAAGAACUUCAGCUGUCGUUGGCAUGUGCUGAUGAGCUUUUAGCUUCAAAUCUUACCGUCAUCAUUAUGGAGUAUGCCGCACGUGUGUUUAUUCGUGUCUCUGUGUGCUGCUGAAGGUGGAACCGAGGUGCUCCUCUCUCUUCCUCUUCAUGCAGCCUGUGCUAUCGUUGUUUGCUUGCCUUCUUUUGGGUGUGGUUGUAUUUGUAUGUGUAGUGCAUGUGUGUCUCUCCGCCGGUGCUUUUUUUUUUGGCUGGCUGGUUGGCUGCCGUUAACCCUUCCCUCCCCUCUCUUAUGAUACGAUUUUUUUUGCGAGUUUUUUCCCACGCCAUCUCGUUUCAUCACUGAAGCACGCUCUCCCUCUUACUUUCCUUCUUUUGUUAACUUUUACCUCUCACUGUUUGCUUCUUCUCUGUGUCUGUGUGUCUGUGUGUGUGCGUGUGUCCGGCUACCCCUGUACCUGUGCCCGUGUCUGUCUUUCGCUGUGGCUUCUUUCGUUUCUCCCCGACUCCCUUGUCUCUUUGGCGAACUUCUUUUUUUUAUUUGUUUAUCUCGAGUGCUUGCUGUGUGUGUCUGUGUGCGCCUCGUGUUUAACGGUGCUCUUGUUUCCUCUUCUCAUUGGUCUUCUUUUCCUUCAGCCGCACGUUCUCCGAACUUCUUCUCUCUCUCUGCCUGCCGUUGCCUCCCUAGCCGUGUCGCUGUGAGUGUGUAUGUUGGUGUGGCGUGUUGUUAUGAAUAUUCGUUUUUUUUUUUUGGCAUCGCAGCGUUGCGGUUCGUGCUGCCCUUGUCUCUCGGUGCUCUUUUUUUUUCUUCUCCUCACCCCAAACCGCAAUUCUCUCUACCCAUCCGCUUGUAUCGCCAUCGCUGUCGUGCUCUUCAGCUUGGGUCGCCAACAAAGCAUAUCUGUAGCAGCGAAGCUGUCUCUCGCUCACUGUCUCUUCAUGGCGCACUCCCAGUCAACCGCCGCUGCUACUCUGUGCCCACCUACGAACCCCAGCAAGCAUGCAGGCAUUUUGCUUACAGUGAUGUGUGUGUUUGUGUGUACGCGUUUAUGUUUUGCCGAAUGCGUUGAGCGAGAUGCCACGAUUGCCGUUGAAGGGGGUGGGUGAAGGUAGCCAAACUUAGCAGCGCCGCUGGGGGUAGAUCAUCCCCUUCUCACCAUCUCCCCAAUGAGGGGAUGGCGAGGAGAGCGUUGCUGUCGGGUGGUUGUGUCGUGCCUUGUGACUGUGACGAAUCCCAUCAAACGCUGUGGCUAGCAUUGCAUCAGGCUACACAAGAAGUCGGUGUCGUUGAAGGGUGCUAGGCGGUUUCGUCAGCGCACUGGCACCGCCCCAACUCCCACGAAGAGGGAGAGGGUGAGUGAAAUAUACACAGGCGAAGGGACUAGUGCCAAAGAAAAAAAUAUGUAAAGGGAACGCAGCGCAGCACGCACGGGCACCUAUGUCUCCUUUGGCUCGGAGACAAGGGCGCAUGUCUCCUGCAUUCUUGCUCGACGUCUUUCUUCCGCCGCUGCUUUCUUUGUCUUUUUUUGUUUGUUUGCCUUCUUCUUUUCUCCCUGAUUGCCUUUGUCUACCUCCCUGUCUCAACCUUACUCCCCUCUCCCCUUCCUCCCCAAACACACACACACACACACGAGAAAG